rnacentral:rRNA from 1 species
CCUGGGGAGUACGGUCGCAAGACUAAAACUCAAAUGAAUUGACGGGGGCCCGCACAAGCGGUGGAGCAUGUGGUUUAAUUCGAUGCAACGCGAAGAACCUUACCUGGUCUUGACAUAGUAAGAACUUUCCAGAGAUGGAUUGGUGCCUUCGGGAACUUACAUACAGGUGCUGCAUGGCUGUCGUCAGCUCGUGUCGUGAGAUGUUGGGUUAAGUCCCGCAACGAGCGCAACCCUUUUCCUUAUUUGCCAGCGGGUUAAGCCGGGAACUUUAAGGAUACUGCCAGUGACAAACUGGAGGAAGGCGGGGACGACGUCAAGUCAUCAUGGCCCUUACGACCAGGGCUACACACGUGCUACAAUGGCGCAUACAAAGAGAAGCGACCUCGCGAGAGCAAGCGGACCUCAUAAAGUGCGUCGUAGUCCGGAUUGGAGUCUGCAACUCGACUCCAUGAAGUCGGAAUCGCUAGUAAUCGUGGAUCAGAAUGCCACGGUGAAUACGUUCCCGGGCCUUGUACACACCGCCCGUCACACCAUGGGAGUGGGUUGCAAAAGAAGUAGGUAGCUUAACCUCCGGGAGGGCGCUUACCACUUUGUGAUUCAUGACUGGGGUGAAGUCGUAACAAGGU